CCACAGUUGCUCCCACAACAACCACAGCUGCUCCCACAACAACCACAGCUGAUCCCACAACAACCACAGCUGCUCUCACAACAACCACAGCUGCUCCCACAACAACCACAGCUGCUCCCACAACAACAACAGCUGCUCCAACAACAACCACAGCUAAUCCCACAACAACGACAGCUACUUACACAACAUUCUCAGCUGUUCCCACAACAACCACAGCUGCUCCCACAACAACCACAGCGGUUCCCACAACAACCACAGCUGCUCCAACAACAACCCCAGAUGUUCCAACAACAACCACAUCUGUUCCAACAACAACCAUAGCUUCUCCCACAACAACCAUACAAGCUCCAACGACAACUACAAUUGGGGCUACAA
ensembl:lncRNA